UUACGGCCACAUCUCGUUGAAACACGGAUUCCUAUACGAUCACCGAAGUUAAGCAACGUCGAGUCUGGUUAGUGCCUAGAUGGGUGACUACUUGCGAAUACUAGAUGCUGUAAG